rnacentral:rRNA from 1 species
GAUGAACGCUAGCGGCAGGCCUAAUACAUGCAAGACGAACGGUAAGAUUUUUAGCAAUAAGAGUCCUAGAGUGUCGUCAGGGUGCGUAACACGUAUGCAAUCUGCCCUGUACAGGGGGAUAGCUCCCCGAAAGGGGAAUUAAUACUCCGUAAUAUCAUUGAAUGGCAUCAUUUGAUGAUUAAAGCUGAGGCGGUACAGGUUGAGCAUGCGCAUGAUUAGUUAGUUGGCGGGGUAACGGCCCACCAAGACGAUGAUAAUUAGGGGAACUGAGAGGUUGAACCCCCACACUGGCACUGAGAUACGGGCCAGACGCCUACGGGAGGCAGCAGUAGGGAAUAUUGGACAAUGGGUGCGAGCCUGAUCCAGCCAUGCCGCGUGCAGGAAGACGGCCUUCUGUGUUGUAAACUGCUUUUGCCAGGGGAUAAAACGGCUCUGCGGAGCUAAUUGAAGGUACCUGGUGAAUAAGCCACGGCUAACUACGUGCCAGCAGCCGCGGUAACAC